UUUCCUACGGGGCGCAGCAGUGGGGAAUAUUGCACAAUGGGGGAAACCCUGAUGCAGCGACGCCGCGUGAGCGAUGAAGUAUUUCGGUAUGUAAAGCUCUAUCAGCAGGGAAGAAAAUGACGGUACCUGACUAAGAAGCCCCGGCUAACUACGUGCCAGCAGCCGCGGUAAUACGUAGGGGGCAAGCGUUAUCCGGAUUUACUGGGUGUAAAGGGAGCGUAGGCGGCCUGGCAAGCCUGAUGUGAAAUACCGGGGCCCAACCCCGGGCUGCAUUGGGAACUGCCAGGCUGGAGUGCCGGAGAGGC
rnacentral:rRNA from 1 species